GCUCAUGUGGAAAUUUCAACUUGCAUCAUUUCAAAAAACCUCCCAUUCUCCCUUAACAAGUAAUUUUCAUCAGGUUUUUGCCAAAACGGUGUGUUUUUGUUAUUUCAGAGGUUUAAUGUUAAUUCCCAACACGCAAACCUUAAUGCAAAUUCAACCAUCAUCCAGUACAGAGCUUUAUAUCCAAAUAUGAGGAAAUUAUUAAGACAGGAUUAUGGAAGUGGAAGGUGGUUUUUUCAACCUGCUGUUAGCUGGCCACAGUUUAAAAAUCACUUUGUUAGUUAUUAGGAUGAUUUCUUGGUGGGGGCGAGUCUUAGCGAAAUAAUUCCCCAAACACAAAUAAAAUAAUCAGGGUCAAUAGGUCGGCUUAUGCAGAUGAAAAUAAAAUAAAAUUGUAAACGAUUGUUGUAUAAAUUCUUCAAUUUUAUUUUGAGGACUUUUAGCUAAGGCUAAAUUACGAGCAAAUUAAGGUUAUUUAAGAAAUUUCUAAGGAAGUUUAAGACGUAAUUAAGAAGAAUGGAAAUAGGCCUAUUGUUCUCAUAAAAUUAUCAGGCCCACUUUCUAGACAAAAUGACAUAAACCUGAAUCAAUAUUCAUAUCAAACAUGACCAAUUAGCACAAAAUCUAUAAAGCUUUUACCAAAAACUAUGUUGUAUCUUUGGCCUUGCAAAGAGAUUUUUUUCUUGUUCUAAUUUUUAAAAGGAUUUUUUUUCUAUCAAUUGCACCAGACAUUUUUUAAACUUCAUUCUCAUCCCUAAAACCCCUUCCCAACAGAAAAAAAAAAAAAGAAUUACAAAAGGUAAUAGAAUUUAUUUGUGUGUUCUAGAACUGUCAAAAGGAAGUGAAUAAAUGCCACAUUAUUUUAAUCUGUAAUCCUGAAUGAGAUGGAUGACUUUUUAUAGGAACACAAGGAUUUUACAAAACCAAAACAUUAAAAAUACGAGACGAACAAACGCCUAUAGCCAAAGAGUAUUAGAUGUAGAAAAUUUGUUUUUUUUUUUUUUUGCUUUAUAUCCGUACAUACGUAUUACAUAUAUUUAUAUAUUGCUUUGGGGGAAUAGGAAAUAAAAUAGAAAUAAAAACGCCUUUUGUGUUUAUUUUAUGAAGUACAAGGACAAGAAACAGAGGUUUUAUCACAUUUCUUUUUUUUUUUGUAUUUUUUAUGUUAAAACAAUAAUGGUGGUUUGUUUUUUCUUUUUUUUUUUUAAGUGUGUCAUAAAUCAAAUCAAAUUUAAUACCAACAAAAUAUACGAUAAAGUAUUUUUUAAGUCGAAUCGGAAUGAAAGGUAGGUACACUCUGGAUGAUUUGAUAAGAGCCAUUGUUGCAAUAUUAAAAAAAAAAAUCUAUCCACAUAUUUAAUGUUAAGUUA